rnacentral:rRNA from 1 species
GAUGAACGCUAGCGGCAGGCCUAACACAUGCAAGUCGAGGGAGAGGUUACCUUCGGGUAACCAAAACCGGCGCACGGGUGCGUAACGCGUAUACAAUCUGCCUUUCACAUAGGGAUAGCCCGAAGAAAUUUGGAUUAAUACCUAAUGGUAUAUAAGAGCGGCAUCGUUUUUAUAUUAAAGCUACGGUGGUGAAAGAUGAGUAUGCGUUCUAUUAGCUAGUUGGAGAGGUAACGGCUCCCCAAGGCGACGAUAGAUAGGGGUUCUGAGAGGGAUGUCCCCCACACUGGUACUGAGAUACGGACCAGACUCCUACGGGAGGCAGCAGUGAGGAAUAGUGGACAAUGGUCGGAAGACUGAUCCAGCCAUGCCGCGUGCAGGAUGAAGGUCCUAUGGAUUGUAAACUGCUUUUGUAAGGGAAGAAUAAGGAGUACGUGUACUUUGAUGACGGUACCUUACGAAUAAGCAUCGGCUAACUCCGUG